rnacentral:rRNA from 1 species
UACGGAGGGUGCGAGCGUUGUCCGGAAUCACUGGGCGUAAAGGGCGCGUAGGCGGCCUGAUAAGUAGGGGGUGAAAUCCUGCGGCUUAACCGCAGGGCUGCCUUCUAAACUGUCAGGCUCGAGCACAGUAGAGGCAGGUGGAAUUCCCGGUGUAGCGGUGGAAUGCGUAGAGAUCGGGAAGAACAUCAGUGGCGAAGGCGGCCUGCUGGGCUAUUGCUGACGCUGAGGCGCGACAGCGUGGGGGAGCAAACAGG